GAUGAAUGCUGGCGGCGUGCCUAAUACAUGCAAGUCGAGCGAACAGACGAGGAGCUUGCUCCUCUGACGUUAGCGGCGGACGGGUGAGUAACACGUGGAUAACCUACCUAUAAGACUGGGAUAACUUCGGGAAACCGGAGCUAAUACCGGAUAAUAUAUUGAACCGCAUGGUUCAAUAGUGAAAGACGGUUUUGCUGUCACUUAUGGAUGGAUCCGCGCCGCAUUAGCUAGUUGGUAAGGUAACGGCUUACCAAGGCGACGAUGCGUAGCCGACCUGAGAGGGUGAUCGGCCACACUGGAACUGAGACACGGUCCAGACUCCUACGAGAGGCAGCAGUAGGGAAUCUUCCGCAAUGGGCGAAAGCCUGACGGAGCAACGCCGCGUGAGUGAUGAAGGUCUUCGGAUCGUAAAACUCUGUUAUUAGGGAAGAACAAAUGUGUAAGUAACUAUGCACGUCUUGACGGUACCUAAUCAGAAAGCCACGGCUAACUACGUG
rnacentral:rRNA from 1 species